rnacentral:rRNA from 1 species
UAGGGAAUCUUCGGCAAUGGGCGAAAGCCUGACCGAGCAACGCCGCGUGAGCGAAGAAGGCCUUCGGGUUGUAAAGCUCAGUCACUCGGGAAGAGCGAACCGGAGAGGGAAUGCUCUGGUGGAGACGGUACCGAGAGAGGAAGCCCCGGCUAACUACGUGCCAGCAGCCGCGGUAAUACGUAGGGGGCGAGCGUUGUCCGGAAUCACUGGGCGUAAAGCGUGCGUAGGCGGUUUGGUAAGUCCGGAGUGAAAGACCAGGGCUCAACCCUGGGGGUGCUUUGGAAACUGCCAGACUUGAGUGCUGGAGAGGCAAGGGGAAUUCCACGUGUAGCGGUGAAAUGCGUAGAGAUGUGGAGGAAUACCAGUGGCGAAGGCGCCUUGCUGGACAGUGACUGACGCUGAGGCACGAAAGCGUGGGGAGCAAACA